AAAGUAGGGAGGAAACCAAAAACCUCCCUGCCGGGUGGUAAGGAACAAAGAACAGUUGUCACUAACUUGCCUGAUAAAAAAUAUGUCCUGAUAAAAGAGUAAAACGUGGAAACAAGAAUUUUGCACGAUAGAAAGUGCUGUAUGAAUCACCAAGUCCUGAGAACCUACUUACAUGCUAGGUGACUUCAUACAAAACACUAUGGAGAACGAGGAAGUUGAAGGAGCCAAGAAGAGGAGGUUUAUCCAACAGGACUGAUCUGAGCUGGACUCCAGGCAUAUUAGGAAGCAUCUUCUUUCCCUCCAUUCUACUCUUCCUGAGAGGAUAUGCCAUUAUCAUGGGAAGAAACUGCUGGAAUUAUUAUGGACUGGAAAAUACAUAGGCUAAAGUUUACAAACUUAUGAGGUUGACAUAGCAUUAAUGUCAACAAGAGCAUUAAUAGUGCAACAAAUGAAUACCAGCAAGAUCCUAGGCAAAACUGAAAAGUAACAGUUUCUUUGAUAUCUUCCUCCUCUUCCCUGACCACAAGAACCUCUUUCCUGCAAGCUGCCUUGUCAGCAUCUCCCACCUCAUCCAAGAAUGUCUUCCACUCAAGGAUCUAAGGUUUCCUCAUAUAAAAUUUCCAUUUUCUGAGACAUUUGUGUUGAUUUAGCAUUAAAGCAUCUGAUCCUAA